AUCGGUGACAGGUGGUGCAUGGUUGUCGUCGGCUCGUGUCGUGAGAUGUUGGGUUAAGUCCCGCAACGAGCGCAACCCCUAUUGUUAGUUGCCAUCAUUCAGUUGGGCACUCUAGCGAGACUGCCGGUAAUAAACCGGAGGAAGGUGGGGAUGACGUCAAAUCAUCAUGCCCCUUAUGACCUGGGCUACACACGUGCUACAAUGGUUGGUACAACGAGUUGCGAGUCGGUGACGGCGAGCUAAUCUCUUAAAGCCAAUCUCAGUUCGGAUUGUAGGCUGCAACUCGCCUACAUGAAGUCGGAAUCGCUAGUAAUCGCGGAUCAGCACGCCGCGGUGAAUACGUUCCCGGGCCUU
rnacentral:rRNA from 1 species